rnacentral:piRNA from 1 species
UUUUUCUAAGGGAGUACUGUAGG